rnacentral:misc_RNA from 1 species
AAUUUAGCUGAAGUUGAAAAAGUAGUUAAUUACCGUGUUGUACAGGAAGUGCUCAAGCUAACGCAUUGAGAUGAGCGCCAGCAUAAUUAAUGAAAACACACCAACGAGCUGAAUGGUUACAAAGCCAUUCCGGAAAUUCCCGAUACCGAAUAAGCCUGCGUUAGUAGGUUAUUGAGCUUUUUUACGUAAGUAAAAUUGAAAUCAAGGUGGGAACACGUGAAGACGUCCUUGCA